CCAACCUAGAAUGCUAUACCCAGCCAAACUAUGAAUGCAGACAAAACACAUUUUUAAAUACACAUGAUUUGCAGGCCCCGUGGGUUGCUUCUCCAACAGCUAUUCCCCCAAUCCCUUCUUUCCUAUUGUCUGAGACCUGUUCUCACAAUAGAAGAUGUGAAUGAUAUAUAUUCAUUUUCUGAGACUUCCGUGUAAGUAGGAUAUGAACCAGUUUCUGACAAAUGAAAUUAGCCAGCUGCUGUAGCCACCUGUGACCUAAAGAGGACACAUCAUCAUUGCUGUGAUGAAGGCACAGCAAGGGUAUGAAAAGUGCCUGGGUCCUGAUGACAUCAUUGAGCUGCUAACCAUUCAGAGAGUUAGAGAUGAGAUAAUAAUAGUAAUAAAAAUUCUAUUUGUAUUCCAGAAUACUAUUAUUUAUAGUUGAAGGCAUCCUAGCUGAUACCGUAGGCCUCAAAAAAGUUCUCUCUCGUGUUCUCUUUUUCAGAUGUGCUCCACCAGAACUAACAAGUACAACAAAAAACGAAUUCUCAGGAUCAUGACAGUGAUCAUUCCAUCCUAGAGAAAGAGGACACAGUCCACAGCCAGAAAUGUCUCAUGGGGAAAAAAAUGCAAACAGCUGAAUUUUGUGUCUGGCCAUACUGAGAGGCACUUUAUGGUUAUGUGAGAAAUUUUGGAACUGAAUUAGUGAUAGGCACAUGGAAGACAAAGUACAUGAGGGGAAAAGGCAAUUACUAACUCAACACAAAUCCAAGAAACUUUAUGAGAAAGGAAGUGCAAUGAUACUAUACCACAUGGCUUAACUGCAAACAUUAUUUCCAUAGUCAUAAUAAGGUGUCCACUGAAAAUUGAUUUAGCUAUAAGUUGCAAUCUAAUUAUGAUUUGAAAUUGGAGUAGGAGCAAGAGUUUGUAUGGGAGGGUGUCAGGAGUGGGAUUCGUAAGCCAGUUAAAUCUGCCUCACUGAGAGGAAUUCAAUAGAUAAUGUCUAAAAUGGGAAAACAUCAAGACAUGGCCAAAAGAGCUUGUUAUUAGUAAUAUGAAAGUGAAUGAGCCUGGACAACAUGGUGAAACCCCGCCUCUACUAAAAAAUAUAAAAA
rnacentral:lncRNA from 1 species